rnacentral:rRNA from 1 species
GAUGAACGCUGGCGGCGUGCCUAAUACAUGCAAGUCGAGCGAACAGACGAGGAGCUUGCUCCUCUGACGUUAGCGGCGGACGGGUGAGUAACACGUGGAUAACCUACCUAUAAGACUGGGAUAACUUCGGGAAACCGGAGCUAAUACCGGAUAAUAUAUUGAACCGCAUGGUUCAAUAGUGAAAGACGGUUUUGCUGUCACUUAUAGAUGGAUCCGCGCCGCAUUAGCUAGUUGGUAAGGUAACGGCUUACCAAGGCAACGAUGCGUAGCCGACCUGAGAGGAUGAUCGGCCACACUAGAACUGAGACACGGUCCAGACUCCUACGGGAGGCAGCAGUAGGGAAUCUUCCGCAAUGGGCGAAAGCCUGACGGAGCAACGCCGCGUGAGUGAUGAAGGUCUUCGGAUCGUAAAACUCUGUUAUUAGGGAAGAACAAAUGUGUAAGUAACUAUGCACGUCUUGACGGUACCUAAUCAGAAAGCCACGGCUAACCACGUG